AACGCAUAUUGCACUCUUUGGUAUUCCGAAGAGUAUGCCUGUUUCAGUAUCAUGAAAUCCUCACAAAGCCAAAUUUUUUUUUGGCUUAUAGUGGACUUGAGCAUUUGCGGCUUUUUUUAGCUGCUGGCUUGAAAUGAAUUUCUUGAACAGCAAUAAAACUUGGGCUUUCGAAUCUUGGCUUAAUAGUUUUGACUGUGGUCAAAUCUUUAGCUAUCUUCAAAGCCAAAAUGCUGUCGAGAUGUUUUUACGAACAUCUUUUCUCAAUUUUUGAUCUGAAAUCAGGUAGGAUUACCCGCUGAACUUAA
rnacentral:misc_RNA from 1 species